rnacentral:rRNA from 1 species
AACGAACGCUGGCGGCAUGCCUAACACAUGCAAGUCGAACGAGACCUUCGGGUCUAGUGGCGCACGGGUGCGUAACGCGUGGGAACCUGCCCUUAGGUUCGGAAUAACUCCCCGAAAGGGGUGCUAAUACCGGAUAAUGUCUUCGGACCAAAGAUUUAUCGCCUUUGGAUGGGCCCGCGUUGGAUUAGCUAGUUGGUAGGGUAAAAGCCUACCAAGGCGACGAUCCAUAGCUGGUUUGAGAGGAUGAUCAGCCACACUGGGACUGAGACACGGCCCAGACUCCUACGGGAGGCAGCAGUGGGGAAUAUUGGAAAAUGGGCGAAAGCCUGAACCAGCAAUGCCGCGUGAGUGAUGAAGGCCUUAGGGUUGUAAAGCUCUUUUACCCGGGAUGAUAAUGACAGUACCGGGAGAAUAAGCUCCGGCUAACUCCGUG